rnacentral:lncRNA from 1 species
AUAAUAUUGACAUGAAGAUGUUAAGUAUUUCAUGAAAAUACAUUAGGGUGAAAGCAAGUGUCAGUCUGUUCAAAAUGUAAUCAAUAUAUUAAUAAUCAACCAUGAGACAGAGACAGCAGCAAGGAUGGGGUAAAGGAGAUUAGCUCUCUUUCUCUGCCUGCUCUCCCUGGUAUUGAAAUCUGGCUAUACUUCUUCCCAGCUCUUGAGAAUUAUUGCAAAACUGGGUCAAUGAAUCAAAGUCAUGGAGUGGCAGAUUCCACCUCAAUGUAAGAAAGAACUUCUUUUUUUUUUGAGACAGAGUCUCACUCUGAAGUCUCCUCUUAAAGGGCUGUGCAAAACUCCAAACAGAAAGGCUUGGCUCUGAGAGAGCCAGAUCCCAAGUGCCCCAGGGUUGUAAUGAGUCUCCUCGCAUUAUUGAACAAACACCUCUAAGUCACCUUUUGCUGGAGGAAGCUUGGUCCUUACAGGAGGGCCUUAGAUUGGGCCCUGAUAAGGCAGCACAUCCUGUCUGCCUCCCUGUCCACACCCUCACAGCUGAGCCUGCUGCGGUUGCUGCUGACUUCAAAGGCACUGCUUCCCUUGGAUCCACAUCAAGGACUGGAAUGAGAAAAGGGUCCCCUGACCUUCUUAUAAUGGCACUGGCUGAGGCAGAAUGAAUACAGCUGCUGAUUCUGAUCUCACACUGGGUAUAUCCCUGAGUGCUGGAAAAAACAUCACCCUCAGAAGUGUGCAUUCAGCCAGCUGCCUUUGGAGAGAGCUGGGAAGGGUGCAAAGUGGCAUGUCCUUUACCAGUCACUCUUUCUGGGCCAAUGCUUAUCCAGAAAUGAGACAGAACUAUGGGUUUACUGCAAAUGACCAGCAUCCGCAAAGUGAUCAAGACUACCAACUUUGGGUAAUGUGUCCCACAUCUCAGAUGUCAGUUGAUAUAAGACAUUACAGUAAAGAAUUAUGAGUGUUCACUCUGCAAUGAAAAAAUGAACCAGCAGAAGGUGAAUGUGAAAGACUAAGAAGAGCCCUGCAGAAAACCCGUUAGCCCAUGUUUUCAUCUGUAAUGUGGAUGUGGGAUAGGAAGAGGGACAACGACAUAGUACCGACCAGGUUCCAGAAACUAUUCCAAGUGCUUUACGUGAUAAAAAUCUCUUAAUUGUCUCAACGACCAUACGAAGUAUAUCUCUAGUGUUGCCCCUAUUUUAUAGAUGACAAAACCUUACUGAUAUCUGUAUAGCUAGUAAGUAGGAGAGACAGGAUUCAAUCUGUCAGCCCAACUCUGCCGGUGCCCGUGUCCCUGCUCUGUGAUCCUGACAGGCAGCCACAGCCAGGAGUCCGUCCUUGUUUUAGAUAUUUCCCAUGUCUGCUGCUCAACUAGACCCUAACGGUGGAUUCUUGGUACAUCCUUACCCAAGGAUAACCCAUAAGUUUUCAUGACAUUACCACGGACUCGUCUUGCUUGUGAAACCAAGUAAUAGUAAAAACAGAAGAAUCAUGUGUUAAAAAUUUUUUGAAGUAAAUGAUUCUGUCAUCAUUAUUCUUAAAGAAAGUGAUGUACCCAAGGUCACACACUUAGUCACUGGUCAGUCCUGGGGCAAACACCCCUUGAUGUCCAGCCCUUGAGUCAGGAUGAUUGCUUCAUCUAGAAGGCACCAUGGGCACUCUGCCUGAAUCCAGGAACCUCUGGAGUUGUAUAUGGCUCUGUCCAAGACAAAGGAAUCCGCUGUACCAGAUCCACAGAAGCCCUGGCUCUAAAUUAAAAACAGCACAACAACAACAUUGCAGCAACAACAAAAUAGUAAUACAAUAAAAGGUGGGAAGACCUCGAGAGCAUAAAAAUUUCCUUAAACUGAUCAUCAAGGAAAGGAAAGGGAGGAUUCCUUCUUUAAAGAGGCAAGUGCCUGCCAGCAGGAACCUAAAACUCAUUAUUAUUCUGUAUUUUCUUUUUUCAUGACUAAAAAGUUUUUCUAUCCUCCCCCUUCCUAUCCCUAUCAAAAGACUACCCCCUCCACAAGACAAUCACAAACUUUAAAAGUAGCAAGCCCUCACUUCAAACAAAAUGUAAAAAUAAAAAUUCAAAAACCCAUAGUGUUUGCAAAACAGCUUUGUAUGGAGGAAGGGCAAAUCUUAUCUUAAGAGAGGCUAAUUUCAUAGGAAUCGGGCAAAGAGAGGAGAGGUAGAAAGGGUGGGAGCACAGAAGAAGGGGAGGCGGGAGAGGAGGGGAUAAAGGAGGAAGAAUCGCUGGCUUUAAAAAGCAACAUUGUCCAGAGAGGUGAAAG